ACCAAAAUUUUGGCGCGCCCAUUACCCUACUUUGAGAAAAAAAAAUUGGAAAGGGGGGCCAGUGAGAACCGCUCGACUGAGUUGGCAACGCACCUUCGAGAAGGGAUGCUCGAAACGGUUACGGCGGAGGGACUGAAGUUCCGAUCGUGGCAAGUGGGAGGAAAACGGUGAGAGAAGGAAGAAGAGAGAGGGGAGUAAGGGUUUUUUUUCUUUCUUCGUUCUUGAGCAUUAUAGGAAAGGAGGAGAAGGAUAUAAAAUGGAAAGAGGUUUUCAGAGAAGAGGAGUUUAUGUCUUUGGGGAAAGAAGACAGAGAAGUGGGAGGUUUUUUUUUUCUUUUGUUUGGAGAGAAGACAGAAGAGAGAAAAAGGGGAGACGAUGAGUUGAAGAGCGAUUUUGAGAAAGGGCGCUGGAUUCUCAAAGCAGAAUCCGAUCCGAAGGGGAGGUCCGCUUCUGAGCGUUUCUUUCCGGCGAUCGUCGAUCGAGGCCUGCUACUAGAGAAGAUUUGAGAGAAAGACAGGAAGGAUUCUACUCCUCUGGUAUUCGCGAGGCCGGACUUCUUGAAGGCUCCGAUCGAAGUCUUGAGACGCCGAUCCUGCUCUGGUUCAGCGUUCGCUCAUCGCCUUCGUUCAGAUAAAGAUGAGGAAGGUUCAACUCGGAGCACUACAGAAUAUAGAUGAUCAUGAU